GGUUGAUCUUUAGAACUGUGGAGUGAACAGAUGGACAGUUGGGUUCUGGAGAGAAAAGUGCCUCCAGCUUCCCGAAGUUCAACUUGCAUGGAUAAUCUUUGAUUAAACUUGACUGAAGCAAUGGCCUGAGAAUAUCUAGAGAACUUUUUCAGAGACUGGAAGUGGUAGUUUAGAGGUAAAAAAGCAGAGUAGAAUCGGUGGUGGACACUGAGUUGCUGGCUACUGGGCAAGGGCAGGUCAAGACUAAAUGGAAAUCCUCUUGCUGCAUUGGCGACUUGAGAGUUGGAGUCAAACACUCAAAAUGCUGGGUGAGAAGAAGAGCAAUAGCAGAUCUGGCUGCAAAUGAAGGAUUUAGGAAAAUGGGUCUUCUAUGCAGACAGCUUCUACAAAGAAAAAGCGCUGAUCCUAACGUUUACAGGCUAAACCAAGUCAUACACAGCCCUUCAACAAAUGAAUUGUGACCUUCCACAUGAAGCACUUCUCUGCAGUCAACAUCCCAUCUGCUAACUCAACUCGCAGCAAAAGGUUUUCCACUGACAGCAAAAAUCUCAUUGGGACAACAGCAUAAUUAACAUCCACCUAAGCAACUCUGGGCAUCCUGGCUGGGGGCCAACCCUGUUCUCAGCCCCCAGCUGGGACAAGGAAGGCUCAGGGCUGACCCCAAGGACCCGCCAUCACAAGGGAGGCACUGACAGCUCUUAAAUCUUCACACAUGUACAGCUCCAAUUUGUUACUCAACAGCAUCCUCGCUGGAAGAAACACAUGGACUUGGAAAAAGUGAGUCUGGAAGGGUGAUUGAAAAAUAGAUGACAUUAAUGUUUCCAGCUUGGCACAGGACUCAUGGACACCCUACUCUGACACCCUGCCAGGCUCCUCUGCACAAAAGGAUGACGCGAUGGGUGACGCGAGGGACGGCAGAUGAUUUGGGAGAGCAGCUCCAACUCUGUGUGGUGCGGUGGUGAGGGAAAGCCAUGAAUGUACUGAGCUUCAUUUCUUCUGCCUGGCAGUGAAGACGGGAAUAAAUGAGCAGUUCCCGCUAAAGAGUUCUCUAUUUUAAUCCUGAGACAUGCCCCGCAGCAUCACACUGAAGAAUUAGAAAACAUUGAAUCACACCACUUAAUUGGAGGUACUUGAACCUUUGUUUGACUGUGACAGAGUUUUGAUUCUGAAGACACAAUACAGAAAAACCACAAAAUUUAGAGUUAAUCAGUUCUUAAAAUUAAGGGGUAAAAAUGGUGUCAACUCUGGAAAAUAAUUGGUAUUUUAAGGAAUUACUUUCCUUCCCUGCUACCGCCAUCCUGUUGUAACACAGCCCAGUGGAGUGGGCUUUGCAUGUGUGGUUGCACGUUGCCAAGCGAUGGUUAGAUGUUUAGUAAUUCAACAUGACCUUAAAUUCUGUCACCUGCAAACUGGUAAUCGCACAACUUAUGUCUGUUUUGCUAUUGCUUUAAGCAGGAGAAGAUGGAAGGAUUUGCCUUCUUCACAAAUAUUUUAGCAGCAGGGCUAAUCUGAUUCCAUAUGGUAUUAAAAGAAGUUAAUUUUUUUUUUCUUAAACAAUUUGAAUAAUGUCUAAGAACAGCAUUUGAUAUUAGCCAUGGUAGUGUGAAAAUAUUGUGUCAGUAUGUUUUCCAUGAAAAAGUACUGCAAGAAAAGAUGUAUUUUGCCAAUGCUAGUCUUCAGGACACAUUCCUACUAUUUUGGUCACCUGUGCUCCUGGGAUAAGGCAGUGAGAGUUACAACAACUAAUAUCCCAAACAUAUACCGAAUAAUUUGUUCAUUGGGAAUGAGAAGAAAAUAAUGUUUGCAUCCCUAGAAACAUCCCAGGCCAGGCUGGAUGGGGCUCUGAGCAACCUGAUCUAGCUGAAGAUGUCUCUGCUCAUUGCAGGGGAGUUGGACUGGAUGAGCUUUGAAGGUCCCUUCAACCCAAACUAUUCUAUGAUUCUUCAUUGGGAAAACACAGAGUACUCAACCCUGCUUUUAAUGACCAUCUUUCAUUUCAGGAUGAGCUUCUCAAAGGCCUGGUCUCCUCAGACCUUUUGAACAUCCUAAAUUCAGUGAGGUAGCUGAUGGUAAAUGGAGUGAUGCAGAACUCACCCAAUCCUCAUUUUAGCACCGGACAAUGUCAAAACUGUAUACACAUUUCUCAUUACCAGGCCUUGUCCAUUCAUGAGGUGAAUCUGCCCUUGUGUCUCUGUAACAUUCAGCAGCUUUUGGACAGUGUGAUCACUGUUUGGGAGUCUUACUGUUCUCUACAGACACCAUCUGUUUCAAGCAAAGAUAACACUAUGCUGAUGCUGAGCGUGACUAAAGGCAAAUUUAGCCAAGGGUCAGCUGUGUCCAGCACCACCCCAGGAAGUGUUUGGGACGGUAUUUUCCUGUGAUCUCACAUUAUUACUUAGGCUCUGGUUAACCACAUUUCACACAGCUCCCUCCUGCAUUUGCUCUGGUCCAUCUCCACCAUGCACUGUCACUGCCAUAGAUGCUGGCAAUGUAAUUGUAACAUGGGGGAAAACACACAGCCCUGUCCAGAUAGACAGAGCUGCACAACCUUAAUAUCCUCCCACCUGGGGUUUGGGAAUUAGCAUAAUCUCUGUGGUCCUCUAUAGCUCCAAUGCACCAAGGGCAUGUCUUGAAAAUCCUGUUCUCUGAUUUUGCCUUCCAUCACUGUUCAAUACUCUAAUUGACAGAUCUUAACUUUGAGGUGAAGCACAACGUGCUUAGAAUGGCAAAUCCCUGACAAAACCUGUAAACGCGACAUUAUGAGUUGAUAGCUCAGGCUCUGAAGAAUCAGUCACCAAUCUACCAUUCUUCUGGUCUAUCUGUCCUUCUGCCUCACACCAACAGACAGGAUAAAAUACAUCAUGAAACAGGCAGUAUGAUAAAACAGUGUCCUGCAUACAUCCCACUGACACAGGUUAAAAAGCAUUUCUUUUCCAAGUCUGUUGUGAGCGUGCUGCUCUGGAGUGAAUUCCAUGCACACUCGGGGGAAAAAAGCUGCUCUGGAGUGGUAGUAAGUGCCUGUUCCAGGAUUGUGGAUUGGUCUGCUAGUGAACAGGAAAAGCCCCAAGUAUCACCCGAGCCCACAUCACACUGUGUUUUGUAACGUGUUGAUUGAAUUGUGAAACAGCUAACUACUUUUUCAUCUUCUUUUUCUUUCCUUCCUUUUUUUCUCUCUCCUUAAAUAGUGAUGAGUGGGAAAAGGAAAAUGCUGAUUUUCCUGCUUCCAAUCCCCCAAAAUGAGUUUGCCUAAUAUUGUCCAGGUGCCUUGUCCUCAGAAAACUUUGUGGAUGUAAAACACGCAGGCAGGCAUAGCGAAUACAGAUUAGAUGAACACAGCAAAAUGCAGUUCGAUCUCUGGAUACCCAGGAUAUUUUGUGAUAGAUUUCCCUACUAUUUUGUCCAGUUCAAAGCACACUUACUAGGCGUUGCUAUUCCACAGUCCUUUCCCUACAAGCAUUCAUCUCGGUGUGCCUUUUAGUGCUAUUUGCACUGUAGCAUUCUCUCUUACCCCAAAAGAUGCAGCUACGAAACAGGAAUCCAUGUGGCAACCCUAUCGCUUCACUGUUUAAACUCCUGACACUCAGCCUUCUGUUUGAGGGGAUCAAUACACAAUCCAGCCCAGCUGGAUAGAAAUAAAUUGAUAUGACAUUUUACGAUUAAUCCA